GAUGAACGCUGGCGGCGUGCCUAAUACAUGCAAGUCGAGCGAACAGACGAGGAGCUUGCUCCUCUGACGUUAGCGGCGGACGGGUGAGUAACACGUGGAUAACCUACCUAUAAGACUGGGAUAACUUCGGGAAACCGGAGCUAAUACCGGAUAAUAUGUUGAAUCGCAUGGUUCAACAGUGAAAGACGGUCUUGCUGUCACUUAUAGAUGGAUCCGCGCCGCAUUAGCUAGUUGGUAAGGUAACGGCUUACCAAGGCAACGAUGCGUAGCCGACCUGAGAGGGUGAUCGGCCACACUGGAACUGAGACACGGUCCAGACUCCUACGGGAGGCAGCAGUAGGGAAUCUUCCGCAAUGGGCGAAAGCCUGACGGAGCAACGCCGCGUGAGUGAAGAAGGUCUUCGGAUCGUAAAACUCUGUUAUUAGGGAAGAACAAAUGUGUAAGUAACUAUGCACGUCUUGACGGUACCUAAUCAGAAAGGCACGGCUAACUACGUG
rnacentral:rRNA from 1 species